rnacentral:rRNA from 1 species
GAACCUGAGAGUUUGAUCUUGGCUCAGGACGAACGCUGGCGGCGUGCUUAACACAUGCAAGUCGAGCGGUAAGGCCCUUUCGGGGGUACACGAGCGGCGAACGGGUGAGUAACACGUGGGUGACCUGCCCUCAGCUCUGGGAUAAGCCUGGGAAACCGGGUCUAAUACCGGAUAUGACUCCAUGACGCAUGUUGUGGGGUGGAAAGCCUUGUGCGGCUGAGGAUGGGCCCGCGGCCUAUCAGCUUGUUGGUGGGGUGAUGGCCUACCAAGGCGACGACGGGUAGCCGGCCUGAGAGGGCGACCGGCCACACUGGGACUGAGACACGGCCCAGACUCCUACGGGAGGCAGCAGUGGGGAAUCUUGCGC